UAACAAGUUACCUUGUUAGGUUGCGCACUA
rnacentral:piRNA from 1 species